AGUUUGAUCNUGGCUCAGNAUGANCGCUGGCGGCGUGCCUAAUACAUGCAAGUCGAGCGAACGGACGAGAAGCUUGCUUCUCUGAUGUUANCGGCGGACGGGUGAGUAACACGUGGAUAACCUACCUAUAAGACUGGGAUAACUUCGGGAAACCGGAGCUAAUACCGGAUAAUAUUUUGAACCGCAUGGUUCAAAAGUGAAAGACGGUCUUGCUGUCACUUAUAGAUGGAUCCGCGCUGCAUUAGCUAGUUGGUAAGGUAACGGCUUACCAAGGCAACGAUGCAUAGCCGACCUGAGAGGGUGAUCGGCCACACUGGAACUGAGACACGGUCCAGACUCCUACGGGAGGCAGCAGUAGGAGAAUCUUCCGCAAUGGGCGAAAGCCUGACGGAGCAACGCCGCGUGAGUGAUGAAGGUACUUCGGAUCGUAAAUACUCCUGUUAUUAGGGAAGAACAUAUGUGUAAGUAUACUGUGCACUNCUUGUACGGUACCUAANCAGAAAGG
rnacentral:rRNA from 1 species